GACGAACGCUGGCGGCGUGCCUAAUACAUGCAAGUCGAACGGUCUUUUCUAUGGAAGCUUGCUUCCACUGAGAAGAUAGUGGCGAACGGGUGAGUAACACGUGGGUAACCUGCCCUUCAGAGGGGGACAACAGCUGGAAACGGUUGCUAAUACCCCAUAAGCCGAGAGGUAAAAGGAGUAAUCCGCUGAGGGAGGGGCUCAUGUCCUAUCAGCUAGUUGGUAAGGUAACGGCUUACCAAGGCGAAGACGGGUAGCCCGACCUGAGAGGGU
rnacentral:rRNA from 1 species